ACGGAAGGCAGCAGUGGGGAAUUUUGCGCAAUGGGGGAAACCCUGACGCAGCAACGCCGCGUGCGGGAUGAAGGCCUUCGGGUUGUAAACCGCUUUCAGUAGGGACGAUUAUGACGGUACCUACAGAAGAAGCUCCGGCUAACUACGUGCCAGCAGCCGCGGUAAUACGUAGGGAGCAAGCGUUAUCCGGAUUCAUUGGGCGUAAAGCGCGCGUAGGCGGCGAUGUAAGCAAAACCUCUAAUCUUGGGGCUCAACCUCAAGCCGGGUUUUGAACUGCAUUGCUCGAGUAUGGUAGGGGUAAGUGGAAUUCCCGGUGUAGCGGUGAAAUGCGCAGAUAUCGGGAAGAACACCGAUGGCGAAGGCAGCUUACUGGGCCAUUACUGACGCUGAGGUGCGAAAGCGUGGGGAGCGAACAGGAUUAGAUACCCUGGUA
rnacentral:rRNA from 2 species